GCAUGGGGUUGGAUUUAUGGCAGGCCCGUCCCCCUGGACCCCCCAUAGUGUCCCAUGACAAAACAAACUGCAGCCCUGAACUAUUGCCUGGCCUUGUCCAUAGGUCUUGGCACUGAAGUGGGCUAUGCAGUG
rnacentral:snoRNA from 1 species